AUUGAACGCUGGCGGCAUGCCUUACACAUGCAAGUCGAACGGCAGCACGGACUUCGGUCUGGUGGCGAGUGGCGAACGGGUGAGUAAUGUAUCGGAACGUGCCCAGUCGUGGGGGAUAACGUAGUGAAAAUUACGCUAAUACCGCAUACGAUCGAUGGAUGAAAGCGGGGGAUCGCAAGACCUCGCGCGAUUGGAGCGGCCGAUAUCAGAUUAGGUAGUUGGUGGGGUAAAGGCCCACCAAGCCAACGAUCUGUAGCUGGUCUGAGAGGACGACCAGCCACACUGGAACUGAGGCACGGUCCAGACUCCUACGGGAGGCAGCAGUGGGGAAUUUUGGACAAUGGGCGAAAGCCUGAUCCAGCCAUUCCGCGUGCAGGAUGAAGGCCCUCGGGUUGUAAACUGCUUUUGUACAGAACGAAAAGGUUUCUACUAAUACUAGGAGCUCAUGACGGUACUGUAAGAAUAAGCACCGGCUAACUACGUGCCAGCAGCCGCAGUAA
rnacentral:rRNA from 1 species